CCUACGGGUGGCAGCAGUGGGGAAUAAUAGGCAAUGGGCGCAAGCCUGACCGAGCAACGCCGCGUGAAGGAAGAAGGCUUUCGGGUUGUAAACUUCUUUUCUGAGGGACGAAGAAAGUGACGGUACCUCAGGAAGAAGCCACGGCUAACUACGUGCCAGCAGCCGCGGUAAUACGAAGGUGGCAAGCGUUAUACGGAUUUAUUGGGUGUAAAGGGCGUGUAGGCGGGAAAGCAAGUCAGAGGUGAAAACUCAGGGCUCAACCCUGAGCCUGCAUUUGAAACUGUUUUUCUUGAGUGCUGGAGAGGCAAUCGGAAUUCCGUGUGUAGCAGUGAAAUGCGUAGAUAUACGGAGGAACACCAGUGGCGAAGGCGGAUUGCUGGACAGUAACUGACGCUGAGGCGCGAAGGCGUGGGGAGCAAACGGGAUUAGAUACCCGAGUAGUC
rnacentral:rRNA from 1 species